rnacentral:rRNA from 1 species
AGUGAACGCUGGCGGCGUGCUUAACACAUGCAAGUCGAACGAGAACGGAAUAUAGCUUGCUAUAUUUGUCAGCUAAGUGGCGCACGGGUGAGUAAUGUAUAGAUAACCUGCCCUUAAGAAAGGAAUAACAGUUGGAAACGACUGCUAAUGCCCUAUAUGCCUUUAAUACAUAAGUAUGCAAGGGAAACGCUUUAGUGCUUAAGGAUAGGUCUGUAUGGUAUCAGCUUGUUGGUGAGGUAAUGGCUCACCAAGGCUAUGACGCCUAACUGGUUUGAGAGGAUGAUCAGUCACACUGGAACUGAGACACGGUCCAGACUCCUACGGGAGGCAGCAGUGGGGAAUAUUGCACAAUGGACGAAAGUCUGAUGCAGCAACGCCGCGUGGAGGAUGACACAUUUCGGUGCGUAAACUCCUUUUAUAUAGGAAGAUUAUGACGGUACUAUAUGAAUAAGCACCGGCUAACUCCGUGCCAGCCGCCGCAGUAA